rnacentral:rRNA from 1 species
AGCUCCAAUAGCGUAUGUUAAAGUUGUUGCGGUUAAAAAGCUCGUAGUUGGAUCUGCGGCCUCGCGUCCUGGUGUUCCCGCAGGGUUCUACUGGGUUUGCAGGCCUACCUCGCUGGUUUUCCCCUGGUCCUCUUCACUGAGUGCCUUGGGUGACCAGCAAGUUUACUUUGAAAAAAUUAGAGUGCUCAAAGCAGGCGUGUAGCCUGAAUAGUGGUGCAUGGAAUAAUGGAAUAGGACCUCGGUUCUAUUUUGUUGGUUUUCGGAGCGCGAGGUAAUGAUUAAGAGGGACAGACGGGGGCAUUCGUAUUGCUGCGUUAGAGGUGAAAUUCUUGGAUCGCAGCAAGACGGACAACUGCGAAAGCAUUUGCCAAGAAUGUUUUCAUUAAUCAAGAACGAAAGU